CCUACGGGAGGCAGCAGUGAGGAAUAUUGGUCAAUGGGCGAGAGCCUGAACCAGCCAAGUCGCGUGAGGGAGUACUGCCCUAUGGGUUGUAAACCUCUUUUGUCGGGGAGCAAAAGCCGGACGUGUCCGGCUGUGAGAGUACCCGAAGAAAAAGCAUCGGCUAACUCCGUGCCAGCAGCCGCGGUAAUACGGAGGAUGCGAGCGUUAUCCGGAUUUAUUGGGUGUAAAGGGUGCGCAGGCGGAUUUUUAAGUCAGCGGUAAAAUCGUGGGGCUCAACCCCAUCCAGCCGUUGAAACUGGGGAUCUAGAGUGUGCGAGAGGUAUGCGGAAUGCGUGGUGUAGCGGUGAAAUGCAUAGAUAGCACGCAGAACCCCGAUUGCGAAGGCAGCAUACCGGUGCACAACUGACGCUCAGGCACGAAAGCGUGGGUAUCGAACAGGAUUAGAUACCCUUGUAGUC
rnacentral:rRNA from 1 species